rnacentral:rRNA from 1 species
CCUACGGGAGGCAGCAGUGAGGAAUAUUGGUCAAUGGGCGCGAGCCUGAACCAGCCAAGUAGCGUGAAGGAUGACUGCCCUACGGGUUGUAAACUUCUUUUAUAAGGGAAUAAAGUGAGGCACGUGUGCCCUUUUGAAUGUACUUUAUGAAUAAGGAUCGGCUAACUCCGUGCCAGCAGCCGCGGUAAUCCGGAGGAUCCGAGCGUUAUCCGGAUUUAUUGGGUUUAAGGGGGGGGCAGGUGGUUUGUUAAGUCAGUUGUGAAAGUCUGCGGCUCAACCCUAGAAUUGCGAUUGAUACUGGCAGCCUUGAGUGCGGUUGAGGUAGGCGGAAUGCGUGGUGUAGCGGUGAAAUGCUUAGAUAUCACGAAGAACUCCGAUUGCGAAGGCAGCUUACUAAACUGCCACUGACGUUGAUGCUCGAAAGUGUGGGUAUCAAACAGGAUUAGAUACCCCUGUAGUC